CUCCCGCACUCACUCACUGGGUGGCAAGGCCCUCUCUCCAGCCAAACCACCACAUAUCAGCGCCCACACCAGCCCCGAACCCAGUCUACACCCAUACCAGCGUAACAUCCCUAUAGCCCAUGAGCCUUGGCACCAGCCCUCACACCCCCCAUCUACCUACAACACUCAGGACACAUCCCCGCACAGAGCGCCUGCUGCAGUAGCAGUGAGUCAAGAGCCCAGUCAUCGGUCAGUACCAGAGAGGUCCAGCGGGUCUUUCCCAGGAUCCAUCAGUGUGGUGUACAGAGACAAGGUCAUGACUGCACUCUGACCCCUCCACCCUAACCUCUACAGCUCUGACUGAGGACCUUGUCCCAGGACCCUGUCCCAAACCCACCUCUAAAUCUAAAUCCUAACACAUACGCAUAUGCAUACGAGACAACUGGAAUACAGAAGACGGAGAGAGACUGGGAGACAGAGAAACACUCUGGUUGUGGACUCAUGGACCAAAAUACCUCGCCAUCCUCAUCACCAUCAUUACACACCAGCCUUGUCUACCAUGUGUCUUCUCCAUCAGAUCACCACCACCACCACCAUGCUGUGGAGACAGAGACUCCGAACAGAAAGAGAGAGACUUUAAACAGACACCAUAGAGAGAUCUCUCUCCUAGUGGAUUGGACCAUGAUGUUCAGUUAGUUCAUGCAAUUGUUGUUGAUACUUUAGUGGCUGAAUGCUACAAAGUCCUCAAAUGUAACUGGGUAAGAUUGAAAUCCCGUUUAUGCUUUACAAAACAGUCAUACCGAGACAUUUUUCUGCCCAGUUAGCGGGUAGAUUUGCUUUCAGCCAAAUCCUUUUAGAGCAAGCCAAAUAAUUUCAUCUUUUGAAAAGUUAUCCUAGCUCAGGAUUCACGGUUUGAAUGUAAGACGCCAAUCAUUUGAGUGUGUGUGAAGUAGUCUGUGUCAUCAUAAACUGCUUUAACUAGGGAUCACAUGGUUCUACAUUACAUCUGUAGGGGAAUAUAGCUACUUUGGAAAUCUCAGCUAAACAAUGAAGGAAAAUGUUCUUGUUAAAUCCGUAUCAGCAAUAUAUACAUUACAAUAUAUACAUUACAAUGUCAUGUUAUGGAAGUCUUGCGUCUAUUGCUGCAUAUCUGCCUUUAUUCUUCAGAGGCUUGAAUGUUGUGUGUGAGGGGUUCUGACUCACCUGAAUCAACCCCCAUAGAUACAUAGAAUGGCUCUGAUGGCCUUGUUUACCUGUGUUAAUGCUGAUUGUGUUUACAUCCUCUCCAUGCUCAACAUUACUUCCUGUUGCCUUAAAAUUGUUACUCUUAUCACAACCAGCCUUAGAUUGGUCGCUACAGCCUUGUUGAAUAAACGCACUGCUUAAACUCC